CUCGCAGUGUGUGUCCUCCACUGGUGUAUGAAUGUGAGUGUUGUGUGGUGGUGGUCGGAGAGGCCGUAGGCGCAAACUGGCAGCCACGUUUCCGUCAGUCUGCCCCAGGGCAGCUGUGACUACUAAGGUAGUUUACCACCACUGAGGUGUGACUGUGUGAGUGAAUGAAUGAUGUAUCCAAUGUAAAGUGCUUUGAGGGUCUCUGAUAAAGCACUAUAAAAAUCUGAUGCAUUAU